CUGGCGGCAGGCUUAACACAUGCAAGUCGAGCGGGCGUAGCAAUACGUCAGCGGCAGACGGGUGAGUAACGCGUGGGAACGUACCUUUUGGUUCGGAACAACACAGGGAAACUUGUGCUAAUACCGGAUAAGCCCUUACGGGGAAAGAUUUAUCGCCGAAAGAUCGGCCCGCGUCUGAUUAGCUAGUUGGUGAGGUAACGGCUCACCAAGGCGACGAUCAGUAGCUGGUCUGAGAGGAUGAUCAGCCACAUUGGGACUGAGACACGGCCCAAACUCCUACGGGAGGCAGCAGUGGGGAAUAUUGGACAAUGGGCGCAAGCCUGAUCCAGCCAUGCCGCGUGAGUGAUGAAGGCCCUAGGGUUGUAAAGCUCUUUUGUGCGGGAAGAUAAUGACGGUACCGCAAGAAUAAGCCCCGGCUAACUUCGUGCCAGCAGCCGCGGUAAUACGAAGGGGGCUAGCGUUGCUCGGAAUCACUGGGCGUAAAGGGUGCGUAGGCGGGUCGUUAAGUCAGGGGUGAAAUCCUGGAGCUCAACUCCAGAACUGCCUUUGAUACUGAGGAUCUUGAGUUCGGGAGAGGUGAGUGGAACUGCGAGUGUAGAGGUGAAAUUCGUAGAUAUUCGCAAGAACACCAGUGGCGAAGGCGGCUCACUGGCCCGAUACUGACGCUGAGGCACGAAAGCGUGGGGAGCAAACAGGAUUAGAUACCCUGGUAGUCC
rnacentral:rRNA from 1 species